rnacentral:rRNA from 1 species
CGGCACGGGUGAGUAACGCGUAUGCAACUUACCUAUCAGAGGGGGAUAACCCGGCGAAAGUCGGACUAAUGCCGCAUAAAGCAGGGAUCCCGCAUGGGAAUAUUUGCUAAAGAUUCAUCGCUGAUAGAUAGGCAUGCGUUCCAUUAGGCAGUUGGCGGGGUAACGGCCCACCAAACCGACGAUGGAUAGGGGUUCUGAGAGGAAGGUCCCCCACAUUGGUACUGAGACACGGACCAA